GCUGUUGGGAAUUGUUUGGAUCGAUUUGCCAGGGUUUUACAACUCUCCAACGAUCCUGCUCCUGGAUAUAAUAUAGAGCAGCUUGCUAAGAAAGGAGAACAAUUUAUAGACCUUCCUUACGUUGUCAAAGGAAUGGAUGUUUCUUUUAGUGGCAUAUUGAGCUUUAUUGAAGCUACCACAGAGGAGAAGCUUAAAAAUAAUGAAUGUAC
rnacentral:misc_RNA from 1 species